rnacentral:rRNA from 1 species
UGGGGAAUUUUCGACAAUGGGCGCAAGCCUGAUCCAGCCAUGCCGCGUGAGUGAUGAAGGCCCUAGGGUUGUAAAGCUCUUUCACCGGUGAAGAUAAUGACGGUAACCGGAGAAGAAGCCCCGGCUAACUUCGUGUCAGCAGCCGCGGUAAUACGGAAGGUCCGGGCGUUAUCCGGAUUUAUUGGGUUUAAAGGGAGCGCAGGCGGUAGAUUAAGUGUGUUGUGAAAUGUAGACGCUCAACGUCUGACUUGCAGCGGAUACUGGUUUACUUGAGUUUGCACAGCGUUGGCGGAAUUCGUCGUGUAGCGGUGAAAUGCUUAGAUAUGAGGAAGAACUCCGGUUGCGAAGGCAGCUUGCGGGGGCAAAACUGACGCUGAAGGUCGAAAGUGCGGGUAUCGAACAGG